ensembl:lncRNA
CUGGAUUCUUUUUUCAGAGCACAACUGAAGGGCUUCAUUUGGUUCCCGACAACAUUCCAGGCACAGAACUACAACACAUCAUGUAUUUCACCACUACCGUCAGGUCAGAAAAGCCUCACUUUUAUGAGAAAUGCAUAACGAGGCAAAAAGCCCAGAAGAUCAAAAAAACUCAUCUCUCCUGGCAGCAUCUAGAAAUUUGUCCCCACUGCUUCUUGAUAAGCAGAUGUUUACGGCCAAGUUCACUUCAGAAACCAGUACUAUGAGGCUGGAGUUAGCUGUCCUAAAGGUGCCUAAAUAUACUUUUCUUAAUUUGCCUGGAAGGGAGGUGUGCAUUCAUCAUCAAGAUCUCCAACACACACGGCUCAGGAGGAGCCACCCCAUCUCCUCCAGGUCUGCAGGGCUUUUACCACUUGCACACCGUACCCACAUGGCCAACAUGUGAUAGAGAGGCCAAGCGGAACACCUGCUUGCAAAACAAGUCUUUGCAAAAACAAGAUAAACUACCAACGUCAGCCCGCUCUACAAAACAAGUUCCCUUAAAACUGCCAGAAUACUUUGUUCUAUCCCAGGAUCAUUCUUUGGUCAGGGGCCUUUAGGUCCCCGACACAAGAAGGGGAUGGGAACCUCUGUUCAGCAAGAAUAAUUUCCAAAUCCCUCAUGGACGCAGCAAGAAUUCUUCUCCAGGAAAAACAAACUCAGCUGAACUCUAGCUAAAUUAACUGAUAUCCCUCAUGAUCCGCCAAUUUUCGUGAUGGAUUAUGUGGAAGCUUUAUGAAGUUCAAAAAUAGCACUGUGCUCCUCCCUCCUCCCUGUCUGAGGGUCUGCCUGCUAUCAGAAGAUUGAUCAGCCACAGGCAGAACUUCCCCACUACAAUGAACAUAAUCCUCCAGUUCACUGGUUUAAGUGAGUCUUGAAGGAUUACUUUUCAGUGUAAUGAGGGGUUAGAUGCUUCCCAAGAUAGCUGGAUGGCCUUUGUGGGUUUUUAAUAUAAGCCAGUACACAAGAAGUUACAGCACUGUAGUCUUGUCACUUAGAUAUUUUUCCCAUUUCUCAUUAAAAAAAAAAAAAAAAAAAAAAAAAAAAAAAAAAAAAAAGACCUCCUCAUUCCUGGGAGCUGCUUUCUCAAACAGAUCACGGAGAAAAGAGUUCUUGAGGAAGUUUCUCUUAUUUGUUUGCUUUUUUUCCAAAUAGCAUCAAUUGCUUUCUUCUUUAAAAAAAAAAUAAAAAAAUCUGUUCCAUUAUCAAACAUUCCCCAUGAUUGCUGGUGUGAUUAAAGGCACCUAGGUAAGAUCAUUUUCUCCACAG